rnacentral:rRNA from 1 species
AAGUCGUAACAAGGUUUCCGUAGGUGAACCUGCGGAAGGAUCAUUAUUGAGUUUUUGAAGCAAGAGUUGUUGCUGGCUUAUGCAGGUGCACACUUUUGUUUUCAUCUCACUAUUCACCACUUGUGCACUCAUUGUAGACUCAAUCGAGGAUUAGUAGUGAUACUCUUAUCAUUAUUGAGAAAUCCUUUGGUCUAUGUUCAUUUAUACACUUUUGAAUGUCUCUGAAUGUCUAUGCAUGUGAUGUGUUUAUUGCAUCAUUUAUAUACAACUUUCAACAACGGAUCUCUUGGCUCUCCCAUCGAUGAAGAACGCAGCGAAAUGCGAUAAGUAAUGUGAAUUGCAGAAUUCAGUGAAUCAUCGAAUCUUUGAACGCACCUUGCGCCCUUUGGUAUUCCGAAGGGCAUGCCUGUUUGAGUGUCAUUGUAUCAUCAACCCUUUCAAAUUUUGAAUGAGUUGGACUUUGGAGGUUGCUGGAACUCUCUGAGAGAGGGGUCAGCUCUUCUUAAAUACAUUAGCAAGAUAGUGCUCUUAUGUGGAACCUGCUCUGGUGUGAUAAUUAUCUACGCCGUGGCUUGGGUGAAACGCUGCAACCAUUCAUUGUUGCCUCAAUAAUGAUAGGGGAGACUGCUGUUUAUAGAAUGGCUUCUUCUGCGCAACGAGAGUCCCUUUGCUUCUAAUGGUCUCUUGAAUGAGACAGUAAAAAUAAAAUGAAUGGAAAAAUGACUUUCACUUAGUCAUU